rnacentral:rRNA from 1 species
UACGUAGGGGGCAAGCGUUGUCCGGAUUUAUUGGGCGUAAAGAGCGUGUAGGCGGCCAAACAGGUCAGCUGUGAAAACUCGAGGCUCAACCUCGAGACGUCGGUUGAAACCGUUUGGCUAGAGUCCGGAAGAGGAGAGUGGAAUUCCCGGUGUAGCAGUGAAAUGCGUAGAGAUCGGGAGGAACAUCAGUUGCGAAGGCGGCUCUCUGGACCAGCACUGACACUGAGGCACGAAAGCGUGGGGAGCAAACAGG